rnacentral:rRNA from 1 species
AUUGAACGCUGGCGGCAGGCCUAACACAUGCAAGUCGAGCGAGCGGCGGACGGGUGAGGAAUGUAUGGGGACUGCCCGAUAGAGGGGGAUAACUACUGGAAAAGGUAGCUAAUACCGCAUAAUAUCGGAUAACACAUAUGGGAUUAGCUAGUAGGUGAGGUAAUGGCUCACCUAGGCGACGAACCCUAGCUGGUCUGAGAGGAUGAUCGGCCACACUGGGACUGAGACACGGCCCAGACUCCUACGGAGGCAGCAGUGGGGAAUUUUGGACAAUGGGCGCAAGCCUGAUGCAGCCAUGCCGCGUGUAUGAAGAAGGCCCUAGGGUUGUAAAGUUCUUUCAGUCGGGAAGCGUUACCGACCGAGGAAGCCCCGGCUAACUCCGUGCCAGCCGCCGCGGUAAUAC